rnacentral:rRNA from 1 species
CCUACGGGUGGCAGCAGUGGGGAAUAUUGCACAAUGGGUGCAAGCCUGAUGCAGCCAUGCCGCGUGUGUGAAGAAGGCCUUCGGGUUGUAAAGCACUUUCAGCGGGGAGGAAGGCGUUAAGGUUAAUAACCUUGGCGAUUGACGUUACCCGCAGAAGAAGCACCGGCUAACUCCGUGCCAGCAGCCGCGGUAAUACGGAGGGUGCAAGCGUUAAUCGGAAUUACUGGGCGUAAAGCGCACGCAGGCGGUCUGUCAAGUCGGAUGUGAAAUCCCCGGGCUCAACCUGGGAACUGCAUUCGAAACUGGCAGGCUGGAGUCUUGUAGAGGGGGGUGGAAUUCCAGGUGUAGCGGUGAAAUGCGUAGAGAUCUGGAGGAAUACCGGUGGCGAAGGCGGCCCCCUGGACAAAGACUGACGCUCAGGUGCGAAAGCGUGGGGAGCAAACAGGAUUAGAUACCCGAGUAGUC